rnacentral:rRNA from 2 species
ACUGGCAGGCUAGAGUCUUGUAGAGGGGGGUAGAAUUCCAGGUGUAGCGGUGAAAUGCGUAGAGAUCUGGAGGAAUACCGGUGGCGAAGGCGGCCCCCUGGACAAAGACUGACGCUCAGGUGCGAAAGCGUGGGGAGCAAACAGGAUUAGAUACCCUGGUAGUCCACGCCGUAAACGAUGUCGAUUUGGAGGUUGUGCCCUUGAGGCGUGGCUUCCGGAGCUAACGCGUUAAAUCGACCGCCUGGGGAGUACGGCCGCAAGGUUAAAACUCAAAUGAAUUGACGGGGGCCCGCACAAGCGGUGGAGCAUGUGGUUUAAUUCGAUGCAACGCGAAGAACCUUACCUGGUCUU